AUUUAUCAUUAUUGGCUUCUAUGCCAUUAUAUUUUCUUCUGUUCUAAAACUUAUUCACUUGUAUUAGAUAUCUGUUAAUAAUUUUUUUAAAAAAGAGAGGUUACAGAAAUAAAGAUGUGUACAUUUUAUAAUGUUUAUUUAAAACUUACUCCGAGAAUAAACAUAUUCUCAAAAAAGAAAUGAAUAAUAAAAACAAAUAUAUGGUUUUACAAUUUUUAACCUUAUUUAUUUUUAGCAGUGUACCAAAACUAAAAUUUGACAUGGCUGUCAAAAGUCACUGCCAUUUUACAUUUACUUUACAAUAAAAUAUUUUCCAUGUUGAAAACAAACAUUUAAUUAUGUAAAACCUUUACCAUUAAUAUCCACUUGUGAAUUUAUUUAAAAUAAACAUUAUCAUACCUUAAAACAAAAAUCCAUGUCACAACACUUGGAACUUCAAAAC
rnacentral:lncRNA from 1 species